AGCAGUCGCCGCGGGAAAACGUAGGUGGCAAGCGUUGUCCGGAAUUAUUGGGCGUAAAGGGCUCGCAGGCGGUUUCUUAAGUCUGAUGUGAAAGCCCCCGGCUCAACCGGGGAGGGUCAUUGGAAACUGGGAAACUUGAGUGCAGAAGAGGAGAGUGGAAUUCCACGUGUAGCGGUGAAAUGCGUAGAGAUGUGGAGGAACACCAGUGGCGAAGGCGACUCUCUGGUCUGUAACUGACGCUGAGGAGCGAAAGCGUGGGGAGCGAACAGGAUUAGAUACCCCGGUAGUCCCUGUCUCUUAUAC
rnacentral:rRNA from 1 species